AAUGCACAACACAGAGGACCUCACCAGAGAUGCAACUUCCAACUGCCUAUCGUCCAUGGGAGAAGAAUUUGAAGGGCUUGCCAUGAUCCAUUCCUCUAGAGGGACCAAGGGUAAACCCGCAUUAGGAGUCCCGUUGGGGUGAUCCUGCGUUCUUGGCUCGCCGCUGGUUCCGGCGCAGGCGUACCAGCCAGUCGUCUGGGAUGCAGACUGCUUGAGACUUUAGAAGUUCGCUUCCUCUCACUAGGGAAUCAGAGAUCCUCAACUCUCAGACACCGUGGUGUCUGCCUCUUAUGCCUAGAACUGCAGCCACCACUUGGUAACCUUGAGGGAAGCUCGCUGAGGAGAAAACCAGAGACAGCUGAGGGGAAAAAAUAGAACUGCGUUCUUGCGGAAUGGAUGAGCCAAUGAACGACAUGGGAGCUACACUUUGUCAAGGUUUCUUGGAUUGCCCUUGAGGGGCACAGGGCCAGCUUUCUUGCCUAAAUAAUGACCGGAUAGAGAAAAAGUGCAUCCUAUAAAUACUGGCACUGCCUGCAGCUUAAGAAUAAUGCUUAAAUGAUAUAAAACCAAGCUGAAUAAAAAUGCAAAAUA